GAUCGUAGAAGCUCCCCCCCUUCCCUCAACCUUUUCUUUUUUCUCUUUCCCUUGCUUGAUUUCCCUUUUUCGCUCCUCCUUCUUUUCCUUGAGCGCGGAAGUGAGACUCUCUAUUGAAGCGCACAGACAGACACUCCUUCUGGAUCAAGGGCUACUAGUUGAAAACCGAAUCCUUGGCUGAAGUGUUUUCAUUGGAGACGAAGAAAAAGUCGAGUUCUUUUCACAGCGUCUCUUGUGGAGCGGAGGAGAAGGGGCCAGCUUCAUUGUCCUACCUCAGCGCUAGGCUGCAAGUUCAAAAUAAAUGCAGAACUGGACGCGCGGCUGACAUUGGAGUGGUGGUUGAGCGACUUGUGGGUUCCGCUGAAGGAAGCAGGCGGUGUGUUUUCUGCGCAACUAGGAGGAUGUUGCAUCGGAUCUCUGUAGAAAGCUGGGAAAGAUAAUGCUGAAAAAAAUAGCUCCUGUUUUGGCCGAGCUUCCACUCUGGAAGAGGAGAUUGGAGACAAACAACUAUGCACACUUUCCAAUGCUGGAGGAAGUGCUUUUGCAGACUGAAGUACAGUUUCUCUGCAUGGAGCAAUCUGAAGACACUUGAAAACACCUCAGAACAUUCCAUCUCAGAUGACCUGAAAACUGAAACAUGGAUUUGUAACUUUGCUUGCUAACAUAGACAGCAUCAGUGAUGCAGACCUUGCCAAAGAUGACCUCACUGACUUGAAGGCAAAGGAAAAUGAUGCAACAUGAAUUCAAUUCAAAAAGUGUUGGGGAAUUCUGGUGUUCAUUAACUCAGGCCUACCCUUUUCUGGCAAAGCAAGUUAUGGGAGCUCUGAUUCUGUUUGCUACUACAUACCUUUGUUAGCCAGGGUUUUAAGCAUAAUUACCAUCAAAAUAAGUAAAAAUUGCUUGGCUGCCAAAGAUGGGAUGCAUAUUGCUAUGUCAAAAACCAUGCCACAAUUUCAUCUUUUUUAUUCAAGCCAAAAAGCAGCCGUCUUCUCACUGAAAUUUAGUUUUGAACUGAAUUAAAGUUUACUUUUUGUUUUAUUUGCACAAUUUUUCAUUUUAUUUCUCUUGAGAGAGAGACCAUUAAUUAAAAUAAAUAGUAUGCAAAA